GUACACGCUGUGACUAGCAUAUCAAUAAGCGGAGGAAAAGAAACUAACAAGGAUUCCCUCAGUAACGGCGAGUGAAGCGGGAAGAGCUCAAAUUUGAAAUCUUGAAAGGUCACCUUUCACGAAUUGUAGUUUAAAGAAGUGUUUUCUGUUACGAUCGUAAUAUAAGUUCUUUGGAAUAGGACAUCACAGAGGGUGAGAAUCCCGUCUAUGAUUGCGAUUUGUAGCUUUGUGAUACACUUUCAAAGAGUCGGGUUGUUUGGGAAUGCAGCCCAAAACGGGAGGUAAGUUUCUUCUAAGGCUAAAUAUUGGCGAGAGACCGAUAGCGAACAAGUACCGUGAGGGAAAGGUGAAAAGAACUUUGAAAAGAGAGUUAAAUAGUACGUGAAAUUGUCAAAAGGGAAGCGUUUAACACCAGUGUUGUUUUCUGAAAAUCAACCUCUGUUAGCUUUAUGCAUGUUUGUUUAGACCUAAUCAGCUAUCUUGCAUGUUCUAUUGUUUGCAGUGGUGCACUUUUCAGUUUACAGGUCAACAUCAGUUUUUUUUACCGUAAAAAAGUUAAAGAAAGGUAGCUCAUGGCUCCGGUCGUGAGUGUUAUAGUCUUUUUCCUAUGCGGUAGGAGAGACUGAGGUCUGCAGUGUAGGCUAUUUGGUUAGAUACUCAGGUGCUAUGUGAUACCAUUUCAUAAACAACUUGUUGAUUAUGUUUUGUCUAUUGCAUACUCGCUUGUACUAUCAUACCUACGCUUAGGAUGUUGAACUACUGAGACAUAGA
rnacentral:rRNA from 1 species